UUCACAAUGAGUGCUAUGUAUAGUUUGUAAUUGCAACAUUCAACAACGUUAGAUAUCAUCCAUUGGAAAGAGUUAAAAACCUCGUAAAACUUAAAAGCCUAGUGAGGCCCAGUCUCCUUCAAAACCACAAGCUUUUCAGCCGUAGAAACUGGGAAGACAAUAUUUAGCAAUCUCUCUCGAUUUAGGCACACUCCUAAGAUCAACCUUAGUACCAUCUUUCAAGGUAAUCACAAUACCACCCCAUUUGCCUAGAAAACCCGGCACAACUUACACAUCCUUAAUCACUUUUUGUAAGAGAAAUCGGUCCUGUCCUCAACUGUCAUCCCUGAAAUUACAGUCACUCGCAUGUUGGUGAACCUUUAUCUCAGAUAAAAGGCCCUUGACACUGCAGCUAAUGUCAAUGGGAGCCAGAGAAGAGUGAAACCCAAAAGAAGAUUCGUUAUGAGGCCCCCAUAGUGAGCUCCACCAUCGAAAAAGAUGAUUUCUUCUGCAGGUUUUAUUGAGGGAAUGGCGGUGACCGUUUUGUUGGUUGGGGCGGAGACGUGGUGCUUAGCGAUUUGCCUGUGAAUUUUAGAGGGAAAAGGAUAUUGGAAGAGAGGCAGAGAUAUUGGUGGCUGACGGAGGGGGUGGCGGCGGUUGUGGUGGUGGUGGCCGUGACGAGAGGAACCGAGGCCAUGGGGAUUAUCCGUUUCGAAGAUGGUCGUCUGUUAGCGAAAUUAAUUGUGGCUAAAAAAUUGCACGUGGCAUAUCAGUGUUGUCCUUUUUUCCGUGGGCUUGAAUACCACAACCAGAGGCCCAUAAUGUUUAGUCCAAUACGCCAUUAUUUGAGUCAUUAAUCUAAAUGCUCAAUCAUUUUAAAUGCACAUCUAUCCAAACGAACCCUUUAAUUUUUUAUUGUCAAUUUUCUAGAAAAACGAGUCUCAGUAUUUUUUAGUUUAUCUUUAAAAUGUGUAACCUAUAUCGGGAUUGUUC
rnacentral:misc_RNA from 1 species